GUUGCAAACGCUUUCUGCGCCUCAACAAACUGCAGCAGUGGCGAAACUAAAUCAACCUAAGCAUGAAGAGUUAACAAUAGCACGAGAGAUUGUAAUCAAUGAUGCUGAGGCUUCUAUUAGGCACAAGCUUACCAAGCGCCAGACUCAGGAAGAAAUUCAAAAGUCCACUGGUGCUGUGGUGAUUACUAGGGGCAAGUACCGUCUACCAAAUGCACCGUCUGAUGGUGAAAAGCCUUUGUAUCUUCAUAUAUCUGCAGCAUCACAUGUAUGUUUUCCUUUUCCGGUCU